rnacentral:rRNA from 1 species
UACGUAGGGUGCGAGCGUUAAUCGGAUUUACUGGGCGAAAAGCGUGCGCAGGCGGCCCGUUAAGACAGGUGUGAAAUCCCUGGGCUCAACCUAGGAAUUGCGCUUGUGACUGGCGGGCUCGAGUACGGUAGAGGGGGGUGGAAUUCCUGGUGUAGCAGUGAAAUGCGUAGAGAUCAGGAGGAACACCGAUGGCGAAGGCAGCCCCCUGGGCCUGUACUGACGCUCAUGCACGAAAGCGUGGGGAGCAAACAGG